GUCAAUUCCUGUUGACACCAGCAAAUCCAGCUUUCAGCAAAGACCCACAAAGACCCUGACCACAUAACAGAGAGAACAAGUAACAUGAGUAGCUCUCUACUAAGGAAAUUAUUAUCAUAAAUGAAUGACAAUAAGAUUUUAAAGGAAGUCUCAGUGUUUUGUCAGAGGAUUUUUGAAUUUUAAAGGAGAUUUUGAAGGACAGUUGCUUCAACCAAGUCUAUGAUCCUUUUUUGUGCUCUUUUCCCCCCAUAAUCCAAGGCGCUUCUCCCUGCAAGAACUUCCCUCACCACACACAUGCACAAGGGGAACACACCAGUUAUCAGAGAAAGACCCAGCCAUGUGCUGGUGGUAUUACAUGGAAUGGGAAAGACUAGAAGCCUGCAGCAACAGAUGGAUUUUGCAGCAUAAUCGAAAGGUCAGCAACUUCUGACCAGCAAAGUAAUGGAGAACAGACCAGGCUGCAGAAAGUUCAGCACAGGGGAAACCUAAUUAAAAAUUAUGCUCAUAUUUAACCAGUGUUUCAGAAUUGUAAAAUCACAGAGGGACUACCUGAGGCACCUAGUAUGUGCUCAAAUCAAUAA